rnacentral:tRNA from 1 species
GACCGCGUAGCGCAGUGGAUAGCGCAUUGGACUUCUAGGUUUUGUUUACGAUGCAAAAAUUUUGAUUUAACCAAAAUUCUGGUAAAUUAAUGAUGCAUUUAAAGAUUUUAGAAGCCAAUCCAAAGGUCGUGGGUUCAAAUCCCACCUCGGUCG